ensembl:lncRNA LINC03047 long intergenic non-protein coding RNA 3047
GGGAAAUGCCAAGACCUUCACCUUGAGCGUGUGCAUGCGCUGCUCUACAGAACCCAGGAGGCGCCUUCCGCCCACCCACAGCAUCACUUCACUGAACAUGGAGUUGGGAAGAGACCUGCGCAAUCGGUUCUUUCUGUUGGCAGGCGCCUCCCCCAGCACACCUCUGGAUAGUUCCCCGUCUUCAGAGAAGAGCUUCCUGCAAUUAUACCGUAGUAUCUGCAGCAGCAUCACCAAAAUGUGGCCAUACUGGAAUCCCUGAGGCGGAGCAGCUGGACCCGAGGGCUCACUGAUUGUGCGGUUGGGAGCGGGCGUCUCGCAGGCUUGCAGAGAUCAGCUUUUGUUGCGCCAGGAGCUGAUGCUUAAUGGCCAAGCCUGCCUAAGGCAGAGCCCAGUUUCCUAAGGAAGCGGGGAGAAGCAGAGGAAGCAGGAGCUAAGAAUUUCAGGUGGGGAAAGGGGUUCCUUUUGAAUUCAGCUAGGAAUCGCUCAUAAAGACGAAGAGUUCACAAUAAAGGAAAUGGAGAUGCUGCGGGCCGCCCCGGUACACUGACAAACCGAUUCUUCACAGUUUGCUGCAGCCAGAGGCAGAGGGCAGGCUCUGCACAACCUGACUUGGAGUGGAAUGGAAAAUAUCCAAUUAAUCAUUCAAAUUUGUGUCUAAGGAACCAUGAUACUCAGUUAUGAAUUUCAAGCACUUUUAAAAACUGCUUUUGGGAGAGAUGUAAAACCUGUCAUUGAAAUAAAAUUAGCAAAUAUUUCCCCAAGUAAGUUAAAAUGUGUCAGGUAAAUAAUGGGAAGACAGAAGAGGUUUCUGGGAAAUAUUUCAUUUGUGUAACUGAAGAAACAUUGUAGGAGGUGAUGGGGGAACAACACGCACAAAAAUGCAGAGCCCGGGUUUGAGGGAAAUAUCUUUCCCCUUUUUCUUGGCCCUCAUGGAGAGAUGCUUGGCUCUGAAAUGGAAACUAGCCACUUCGUACAACUCAGUUCCUAUGUCCCAUUAACGUGCUGAGCACAUUAGGUGUGAAAAGCAAGGAGUGGAAAGACAGCAGAAAACAUGGACUGCCGUAUUUUCAAGUCCCUUUCUGUCUUGAGAACCCCUGCCCAGGGUGUGUGAGUGCUUUUGGGGUGGGGGUGAAGGCAUGCUAGGAAAAUACCAUUUUAUUUUUAAAAACAAGCAAACAAGAUCCUGCCAUAUAAUGUGCUACUAAAAAUAUUUGCUCCUGGCAUUGACUGUCAAGCAGUGGCAUGCUGCAGCCAGCUUGCGUUGGCUCAUAAAAGCCAAUGGUACACAUCUCUUCUUAACCUGAUAUUCAGAAAUAUCACACUGAUAACUUGAAAUUGGCCAUAGUGGAAGUAUUUACACCAUGGUAAUUGUGAAAUCCUACAAACCAGGUCGUUUGUCCUUGGAGAACUGGUUGUUAAAGAUCUAUCAUCACAGAGCUGCUGGCAGGUUAUCCUACUGAGAGAUCGGAUCAUAACCAUGUAUAUUAGUCAGCUUGGGCUGCCAUAACAAAAUGCCACAGUCUGGGUGGCUGAUACAACAGCCAUUUAUUUCUCAUAGUUCUGGAGGCUGAAAGUUCAAGAGUAAGGUGUCAGGGAGUUUGGUGUCUCCUGAGGGGAGGCCUUUUUCUUUGGCUUGCAGGC